rnacentral:rRNA from 1 species
AUGGUUGUCGUCAGCUCGUGCCGUGAGGUGUCGGGUUAAGUCCCAUAACGAGCGCAACCCUAUCAUUUAGUUGCCAUCAGGUCAAGCUGGGGACUCUAAUGAAACUGCCUACGCAAGUAGUGAGGAAGGUGGGGAUGACGUCAAAUCAGCACGGCCCUUACGUCCAGGGCUACACACGUGCUACAAUGGCCGAUACAGAGGGCAGCUACCUGGUGACAGGAUGCAAAUCUCCAAAGUCGGUCUCAGUUCGGAUCGGAGUCUGCAACCCGACUCCGUGAAGUUGGAUUCGCUAGUAAUCGCGCAUCAGCCAUGGCGCGGUGAAUACGUUCCCGGGCCUU